rnacentral:rRNA from 1 species
CUGCUCAAUGAAUAAAUUUAAAUAGCUGCAGUAUAAAUAACUGUACAAAGGUAGCAUAAUAAUUUGUUUUCUAAUUAAAAACUAGAAUGAAUGAUUUAAUGAAAUAUAAACUGUAUCAAAUUUAAAAAAUAAACUUUUUAUUUAAAUAAAAAAAUUUAAAUAAUUUUUAAAGACGAGAAGACCCUAUAGAAUUUUUAUAAUAAAUUUUAAUAUUAUUAAUUUUAUUAUAUUAAUUGGGGAAAUUUUAAAAUUAAAAAAAUUUUUAAUUAAAUAAACAUAAAUUUUUGAAUAUUUAUAAUUUUUUAAAAAAUUAAAUUUAAUUACCUUAGGGAUAACAGCAUAAUUUUUUUAAAAAG